CCAUGGCGGUGGAGGAGGAGGAUGAGGUAGCCAACACUGUUUUAUUUAUAUAUAUAUAUAUAUAUAUAUAUAUAUAUAUAUAUAUACAUAUAUAUUAAUUGGGGUAGCCCCCAAAUUAUUGGGACAUAUAAAAAAAAACAACAGAGUAGCUGUUGACAUAGUUACGCAGGCACUUUGUUGACUCUAGAGAACCUCUGGCCAAUCGCACAUCCCUGUGGCGGCGACUUUGCAUGCGGAUGUCAUCCAUUUCAACUUUCGAUGCCAGUUUCUGCGCCUACCAUGGUGACCACGGGUAACGGGGAAUCAGGGUUCCAUUCCAUACAGGGACCCUGAAAAACAGCUACCACAUGCAAGGAAGGCAGCAGG
rnacentral:rRNA from 1 species